rnacentral:rRNA from 1 species
GACGAACGCUGGCGGCGUGCUUAACACAUGCAAGUCGAACGGAAAGGCCCUGCUUUUGUGGGGUUCUCGAGUGGCGAACGGGUGAGUAACACGUGAGUAACCUGCCCUUGACUUUGGGAUAACCUCAGGAAACUGGGGCUAAUACCGUAUAGGAUCUCCUGCUGCAUUGUGGGGGUUGGAAAGUUUCGGCGGUUGGGGAUGGACUCGCGGCUGAUCAGCUUGUUGGUUGGGUAGUGGCUUACCAAGGCUUUGAAGGGUAGCCGGCCUGAGAGGGUGACCGGCGACAUUGGGACUGAGAUACGGCGCAGACUCCUACGGGAGGCAGCAGUGGGGAAUAUUGCACAAUGGGCGGAAGCCUGAUGAAGAAACGCCGCGUGCGGGAUGACGGCCUUCGGGUUGUAAACCGCUUUAGCCUGUGACGAAGCGUGAGUGACGGUAAUGGGUAAAGAAGCACCGGCUAACUACGUG